GACGAACGCUGGCGGCGUGUUUAACACAUGCAAGUCGAACGAGUGGCGAACGGGUGAGUAAUACGUGGGUAACCUGCCCUCUUUUUGGGAUAAGCCUUGGAAACGGGGUCUAAUACCCAAUAAAGGGGGAUGGGCUCGCGGCCUAUCAGCUUGUUGGUGGGGGGAUGGCCUACCAAGGCGGUGCCGGGUAGCCGGCCUGAGAGGGUGACCGGCAACAUUGGGACGGAGAAACGGCCCAGACUCCUACGGGAGGCAGCAGUUGGGGAUAUUGCACAAUGGGCGAAAGCCUGAUGCAGCGACGCCGCGGGAGUGAUGACGGCCUUCGGGUUGUAAAGCUCUGUUAAUCGGGACGCGGUACCGGAAUAGAAAGCCACGGCUAACUACGUGCCAGCAGCCGCGGUAAUUC
rnacentral:rRNA from 1 species